rnacentral:rRNA from 1 species
AACGAACGCUGGCGGCAUGCCUAACACAUGCAAGUCGAACGAGACCUUCGGGUCUAGUGGCGCACGGGUGCGUAACGCGUGGGAACCUGCCCUUAGGUUCGGAAUAACUCCCCGAAAGGGGUGCUAAUACCGGAUAAUGUCUUCGGACCAAAGAUUUAUCGCCUUUGGAUGGGCCCGCGUUGGAUUAGCUAGUUGGUAGGGUAAAAGCCUACCAAGGCGACGAUGCAUAGUUGGUCUGAGAGGAUGAUCAGCCACACUGGGACUGAGACACGGCCCAGACUCCUACGGGAGGCAGCAGUGGGGAAUAUUGGACAAUGGGCGAAAGCCUGAUCCAGCAAUGCCGCGUGAGUGAUGAAGGCCUUAGGGUUGUAAAGCUCUUUUACCCGGGAUGAUAAUGACAGUACCGGGAGAAUAAGCUCCGGCUAACUCCGUG